AUGCGUAGAAGGAAAUGGCCUGGUAAUCCUUGUUGUUCCUUCUGCAACGAGGUUGAGAGCUCGCAACACCUUUUUUUCACCUGCCCUGUGGCAAAAUGUCUGUGGAGAUCCAUUGGGGUCGUGCUGGGUACUGAUAGAUGUCCCAAUAGUUACUGGCAGUUUUAUGCGUGGUGCCACACUUUUCUCCCUGGGGGAGAGAGAUUUUACACGGUGGGCCUUGCAGCUGCCUGUUGGGCUAUCUAGCUAGCUCGAAAUGGAGCCACUUUUGAGAAGAAAAUGAUUAAAACACCAUUCGAAAUUGUCCUUCCAUGUGUUCUUUCUUGCUUUACUGGACAGGUCUGCAGCAAGGAGAUGCCGCUAAAGAAGCUACACACAGGCGCGGAACGGAUCAGGGCGGGUACCAUGCAGAUGAUGAAGCCGUGUGACACUGCCAGACAAUCGAUCACCGGAGAGUGA
rnacentral:rRNA from 1 species